rnacentral:rRNA from 1 species
AUAAAAUCUAAGGUGUAACCUGCCCAGUGGUUUUAAAAUAAUAAUUUAAAAAUUUAAAAAUAAAACUAAAAGGACGCGGUAACCUUGACCGUGAUAAUGUAGCAUAAUCACUCGCCAUUUAAUUGAUGGAUAGUAUGAAUGGUUGAACGAAUAUUCCACUGUCUUAAAGAGAAUUAAAAGAAAUUGAAAUAAUAGUUAAGAUGCUAUUUUAAACUGUAAGACGAAAAGACCCUAUAGAGCUUAACUAUAAACUUUUUAUAAAAAAUUAAAAAUAAAUUUAUCAAUUAAAAAGUUUGGUAGUUUAGUUGGGGCGACUAUCUUCUAAAAAUAACGAAGAUAAGCAAUAUUAAUAAAAAAUUUAUUGUAUAAAUAAAAAUUUUAACAAUUAUCAUAGUAGGCUAUAAUGACCCGUUUUUACUAAAAAAUAAGAAAAACGAUCAAUUAAUAAAAGCUACCUUAGGGAUAACAGGAUAAUUUCAUUUUAGAG